CGUUAGCGGCGGACGGGUGAGUAACACGUGGGUAACCUACCUAUAAGACUGGGAUAACUUCGGGAAACCGGAGCUAAUACCGGAUAAUAUUUCGAACCGCAUGGUUCGAUAGUGAAAGAUGGUUUUGCUAUCACUUAUAGAUGGACCUGCGCCGUAUUAGCUAGUUGGUAAGGUAACGGCUUACCAAGGCGACGAUACGUAGCCGACCUGAGAGGGUGAUCGGCCACACUGGAACUGAGACACGGUCCAGACUCCUACGGGAGGCAGCAGGA
rnacentral:rRNA from 1 species